GCUUCCGUGGCGCAAUAGGCUUCGCGUUCGGCUGUUAACCGAAAGUUGUUGGUUCGAGCCCACCCGGGAGCG
rnacentral:tRNA from 1 species